rnacentral:rRNA from 2 species
AGACCCGAAACCCGGUGAUCUAGCCAUGGGCAGGUUGAAGGUUGGGUAACACUAACUGGAGGACCGAACCGACUAAUGUUGAAAAAUUAGCGGAUGACCUGUGGCUGGGGGUGAAAGGCCAAUCAAACCGGGAGAUAGCUGGUUCUCCCCGAAAGCUAUUUAGGUAGCGCCUCGUGAAUUCAUCUCCGGGGGUAGAGCACUGUUUCGGCUAGGGGGCCAUCCCGGCUUACCAACCCGAUGCAAACUGCGAAUACCGGAGAAUGUUAUCACGGGAGACACACGGCGGGUGCUAACGUCCGUCGUGAAGAGGGAAACAACCCAGACCGCCAGCUAAGGUCCCAAAGUCAUGGUUAAGUGGGAAACGAUGUGGGAAGGCCCAGACAGCCAGGAUGUUGGCUUAGAAGCAGCCAUCAUUUAAAGAAAGCGUAAUAGCUCACUGGUCGAGUCGGCCUGCGCGGAAGAUGUAACGGGGCUAAACCAUGCACCGAAGCUGCGGCAGCGACACUGUGUGUUGUUGGGUAGGGGAGCGUUCUGUAAGCCUGCGAAGGUGGCCUGUGAGGGUUGCUGGAGGUAUCAGAAGUGCGAAUGCUGACAUAAGUAACGAUAAAGCGGGUGAAAAGCCCGCUCGCCGGAAGACCAAGGGUUCCUGUCCAACGUUAAUCGGGGCAGGGUGAGUCGACCCCUAAGGCGAGGCCGAAAGGCGUAGUCGAUGGGAAACGGGUUAAUAUUCCCGUACUUGGUGUUACUGCGAAGGGGGGACGGAGAAGGCUAUGUUGGCCGGGCGACGGUUGUCCCGGUUUAAGCGUGUAGGCUGGUUUUCCAGGCAAAUCCGGAAAAUCAAGGCUGAGGCGUGAUGACGAGGCACUACGGUGCUGAAGCAACAAAUGCCCUGCUUCCAGGAAAAGCCUCUAAGCAUCAGGUAACAUCAAAUCGUACCCCAAACCGACACAGGUGGUCAGGUAGAGAAUACCAAGGCGCUUGAGAGAACUCGGGUGAAGGAACUAGGCAAAAUGGUGCCGUAACUUCGGGAGAAGGCACGCUGACACGUAGGUGAAGUGAUUUACUCAUGGAGCUGAAGUCAGUCGAAGAUACCAGCUGGCUGCAACUGUUUAUUAAAAACACAGCACUGUGCAAACACGAAAGUGGACGUAUACGGUGUGACGCCUGCCCGGUGCCGGAAGGUUAAUUGAUGGGGUCAGCGCAAGCGAAGCUCCUGAUCGAAGCCCCGGUAAACGGCGGCCGUAACUAUAACGGUCCUAAGGUAGCGAAAUUCCUUGUCGGGUAAGUUCCGACCUGCACGAAUGGCGUAAUGAUGGCCAGGCUGUCUCCACCCGAGACUCAGUGAAAUUGAACUCGCUGUGAAGAUGCAGUGUACCCGCGGCAAGACGGAAAGACCCCGUGAACCUUUACUAUAGCUUGACACUGAACAUUGAGCCUUGAUGUGUAGGAUAGGUGGGAGGCUUUGAAGUGUGGACGCCAGUCUGCAUGGAGCCGACCUUGAAAUACCACCCUUUAAUGUUUGAUGUUCUAACGUGGACCCGUUACCCGGGUUGCGGACAGUGUCUGGUGGGUAGUUUGACUGGGGCGGUCUCCUCC